rnacentral:tRNA from 1 species
GGGCUUGUAGAUCAAUGGUUAGAUCGCGCCGCUCAUAACGGCCAGGUUGCAGGUUCGAGUCCUGCUAGGCCCA